ACUCGCCAGAUCAAAAGCUUCCAAAACAUUUCCCCCAAAUUUCUCUAUCUGCAUUUUCAAAUUUCUCUCAACUUUUCCUCUCAUCUGCGUUCUCUCCUGAGUGGUGUAGAUGAAUCGAAGAUAACAAUCAAAGGGAAGAUGACGAUCGACGUUAAAUUGAAGGUUCAGUAGGUCUGGCCGGUCUUUCGUCACCCUUGGAGAGUUGUUCAUCUCUCUUGGUCGUGUUUUGGCCAUCCGAGAAGCAGUGGUCUAUUAGCCUUCAAUGGGUGCUGAAGAGUUCUAGGGCUUGAUGGUGCUUUUGUAGAGAAACUGACUAGCAAUAUGUGGAAAACGACACCAAUCUGUGUUUUUGGGUGGUGUUUUGAUGCUACAAAAAGCAGAAUUUUGAGACCUUAAGAAGCUGUACGUUUUUUUGCGAAUCUUUAUUAUAACUAUUUAUAUCGAGAAAUUAAAGAUUACAAGUAAAGGUCAACUACCGACAUCUAUUUUGAAAUCACGGGCUGCGAAUUUUCUAGAAUGUGCUCGUGUUGUGAUACCGUGCAAGACGGAGUUGUAGCUGACCCUGGUAAUACUGAAAAUGAGGUCAGUGAGGUGAGUGAUCUGCCAGCAUUUCGUGAGUAUUCUGUUGAACAACUAAGAACGGCUACAUCUGGAUUUUCUAUCGAAAAUAUUGUGUCUUGAACAUGGAGAAAAAGCCCCUAAUGUGGUCUACAAAGGGAAGUUGGCAAAUCAAAGAAGAAUUGUUGUCAAACGGUUUAAUAGAUCUGCUUGGCCUGAUGCUAGGCAGUUUCUGGAAGAAGCAAGAGCGGUUGGCCAGCUUCGAAACCCUAGAUUAGCUAAUCUGCUUGGCUGCUGUUGCGAAGGUGAUGAAAGAUUACUUGUUGCUGAAUUUAUGCCACAUGAGACUCUUGCAAAACACCUAUUUCACUAUAAGUUAGUGACACUGAGGUGCCAUCUCAUGUAUUAAUGGGCAUCACACAAGGCGGGUCGGCUAUGCCUUUGACUGCACUUGGAGAAGCCUAUUUUUCAUGCCUUGAUACAACCUCCUAAACCAUGUUAUCCAAAGUUCUGGAUUGUCAUUGUGAUAUUAAUGGUUUUAUUCACAUGUAAACUACCGGAUCUGAUUAAGCUUAAUGGCAUUAAUAUUAUCUUAAUCUUUAACAAAAGUUAUGAUGUUUGCUUCUGGUUUCUAGGGUGUGAAGAAAAAAAGAAGAGUAAAACUGAAAAAUACUUGAAUUGGCAGUUGGUCAAUGAGACUAAACCUAUAUGAGUAGGUUAAAAUACUUUAAAUAAUAAUCGUACUCACUUAUUUGUUUCAGAGUUUGUUAAUUAGAUGAUUAAAAUACCGACGAGGAAUCCAAAGGAAGUUGAAAAAGAUCAAUAAAAUGAAUUCUACAAGAAGGCAUUCAACGAGUUUCAUGAUCCUCUUGCAUACGUUCACUUCACAACUAAGUUUGUGCAGGGUAAAGUGGGAUUUAGAAGUGUAAUCUACAUCCCUUGAAUGGUACCAAAGAACAAUGAGGAUGUAGUAAAUCCUAAGACAGAAUAUACAUUUACGAAAGCCCAUCUUUGGUCCACUGUGCUGUUUAUGCUGGGGCAGGGUGGUUCCCACUGUUUAAUUGGCUCCGAGGUUUGUUUAAGAGUAUUGGACCGGGUUUGUGGGAUGGCCGUCAACUAGAAUGAGUAUGGCAGUUGUUUUUUUAGCUUCGUGUUUGUUGGUUUGCCCAUGGAUUCCCCGUGAUUGGAUUCCGGUUAUGCCAUCCCGAAUUUGGCCCCCGUUGUCUGGUGUGAAUAUUACUGUUUUAUUGCUGCUGGGGACAGGUUUAAAGCUGGUGUUCAGGUGCGGGAACUGGUACAGUUGGGUGUGUGGUGAGUUUCGAAGCUCGGCUUUAUGCCUAUCUAUGAAGUCCCACACUAAACAAUUUUGGCCUGCUGUGUUAUGGGCCAAAACCGUGGCCCAAAUGCCUCUCCAAGGCCCUGGUUUAGCGCUGGGUAGAAAGGCCCAAAGUAUGGUUUUACAGCUGCAAUGGAAGGCCCAAUUCUGGGUUUUAAAGCUGCUAAGUAAGGCCCAAUAUGGUAUUUUUUGGUGUUUCGUGAAGGCCCAGGUUUGGGUGUUGUGGAUUAUAAUUGGGCUCAGAAGCAGACAUGUUGUGAUGACAUUGAAGACCUGUUACAUGGACCUUUUGACUGCCACAUUGGACUCAAGCGUCGGGCUUUAUAGCUGUUUUUUGGGCCUCGGGUUUAUGGGUUUUUUGAAGGCCCAGAUUGGGUUGGAUAUAUGUUGGUGUAGCGGUUUGGAUAGGCUCGCUGGAGGUUCUCUUUGGGCCGUUGGGAGCCCCUAUUUGGCCCGGGUUAUUCACUGUUGGCACUGGUUAGCUACAAACCAUGGUGCAAUGUGGAAAAACGGUUAUCCGCAAGCUGAAAGCCGGGAGAUAUGGAUAUAUAAAAUGGAGUUUGGAUAUUUAUAGAUGCAACUAUAUCUUAUACUAUUGUGGUAUUCCUUGAUGUAGUUCGCCUUGUUUUGAUAGGCACUUUUGUAAAGGUUUUUACCAACUUUGGUUAAGUUGCAUUUUUAGCGUCAUUUUUUGUUACGCUAGGUUUUUUUGUAUGCCUAAACUGAGGUUGGAUGAUUUCUUAUUUUUGGUCCCCGAAGUAUGUUUUGGGGAUGAUACGGGGGUAUCCCCUUUGACUCUAAUUUUUCCUCUGAUUUUUUCA